rnacentral:rRNA from 1 species
GACGAACGCUGGCGGCGUGCUUAACACAUGCAAGUCGAACGAUGAUGCUGGAGCUUGCUCCAGUUGAUUAGUGGCGAACGGGUGAGUAACACGUGAGCAAUCUGCCCUUGACUCUGGGAUAACUGCGGGAAACUGUAGCUAAUACCGGAUACUUUCACCGGAAGGCAUCUUCUGGUGAUGAAAGAAUUUCGGUCAGGGAUGAGCUCGCGGCAUAUCAGCUUGUUGGUGAGGUAACGGCUCACCUAGGCGACGACGGGUAACCGGCCUGAGAGGGUGACCGGUCACACGGAGACUGAGACACGGCCCAGACUCCUACGGGAGGCAGCAGUGGGGAAUGUUGCACAAUGGGCGCAAGCCUGAUGCAGCAACGCCGCGUGAGGGAUGAAGGCCUUCGGGUUGUAAACCUCUUUUAGCAGGGAAGAAGCGAAAGUGACGGUACCUGCAGAAAAAGCACCGGCUAACUACGUGCCAGCCGCCGCAGUAA